GCGGUAUUUAGAAAUCUAAUUCAAUGCUCUACUUGAAAAUCUCUGAUCAUGCUUUUGGAUCAGAGCUUUUCUCAAAUAUUACAUCCUUUCUAGGAUUGUAUUUAUUUGCAAAAGCAUUUCCUUAGAAGUUUUAAAACUGUUUAAUAUAUUCAUUCUUUGUUUUUAUAGGCAUACUGAGUAAAGCCCAUAUUUUCAAUUUCAUAUACAUGUCUGCCAGGAAAAAAAUUGUUUUCAGCAUGGGACACAUCUUCUGUAAUGACUCCUUGUCAAAUAUGUACUCUUCAAAAUAAAGUACAAAAAGUUGUGAGUUUUCCAAUCUUAGAGGAAAAGAAUAGAGGAAAUGGUGCAAUUCACACACCUGCAGAAACUCCAGGUGUGGUUGA
rnacentral:lncRNA from 1 species